rnacentral:rRNA from 1 species
CCUACGGGCGGCAGCAGUCGAGAAUCAUUCACAAUGGGGGAAACCCUGAUGGUGCGACGCCGCGUGGGGGAAUGAAGGUCUUCGGAUUGUAAACCCCUGUCAUGUGGGAGCAAAUUAAAAAGAUAGUACCACAAGAGGAAGAGACGGCUAACUCUGUGCCAGCAGCCGCGGUAAUACAGAGGUCUCAAGCGUUGUUCGGAAUCACUGGGCGUAAGGCGUGCGUAGGCUGUUUCGUAAGUCGUGUGUGAAAGGCGCGGGCUCAACCCGCGGACGGCACAUGAUACUGCGAGACUAGAGUAAUGGAGGGGGAACCGGAAUUCUCGGUGUAGCAGGGAAAUGCGUAGAUAUCGAGAGGAACACUCGUGGCGAAGGCGGGUUCCUGGACAUUAACUGACGCUGAGGCACGAAGGCCAGGGGAGCGAAAGGGAUUAGAUACCCUGGUAGUC